CCUUACCAACUCUUGACAUCCCCUUGACCGCUUGAGAGAUCAAGUUUUCCCUUCGGGGACAAGGGUGACAGGUGGUGCAUGGUUGUCGUCAGCUCGUGUCGUGAGAUGUUGGGUUAAGUCCCGCAACGAGCGCAACCCCUAUCCUUAGUUGCCAGCAUUCAGUUGGGCACUCUAGGGAGACUGCCGGUGACAAACCGGAGGAAGGUGGGGAUGACGUCAAAUCAUCAUGCCCCUUAUGAGUUGGGCUACACACGUGCUACAAUGGACGGUACAAAGGGCAGCGAGACCGCGAGGUGGAGCCAAUCCCAGAAAGCCGUUCCCAGUUCGGAUUGCAGGCUGCAACUCGCCUGCAUGAAGUCGGAAUCGCUAGUAAUCGCAGGUCAGCAUACUGCGGUGAAUACGUUCCCGGGUCUUGUACACACCGCCCGUCACACCACGAGAGUUUGCAACACCCGAAGCCGGUGAGGUAACCGCAAGGAGCCAGCCGUCGAAGGUGGGGUAGAUGAUUGGGGUGAAGUCGUAACAAGGUAGCCGUAUCGGAAGGUGCGGCUGGAUCACCUCCUUUCUAAGGA
rnacentral:rRNA from 1 species